rnacentral:rRNA from 1 species
UACGGGGGGAGCAAGCGUUGUUCGGAUUUACUGGGCGUAAAGGGCGCGUAGGCGGCCACCGCAAGUCGACUGUGAAAUCUCCGGGCUUAACCCGGAAAGGUCAGCCGAUACUGCGGGGCUAGAGUGCAGAAGGGGCAACUGGAAUUCUCGGUGUAGCGGUGAAAUGCGUAGAUAUCGAGAGGAACACCCAGGGGGAAACCAGUGGACUGGGCAUGUGCUGACGCUCAGGUGCGAAAGCGUGGGGAGCGAACCGG